rnacentral:rRNA from 1 species
GAUGAACGCUGGCGGCGUGCCUAAUACAUGCAAGUCGAGCGAACGGACGAGAAGCUUGCUUCUCUGAUGUUAGCGGCGGACGGGUGAGUAAAACGUGGAUAACCUACCUAUAAGACUGGGAUAACUUCGGGAAACCGGAGCUAAUACCGGAUAAUAUUUUGAACCGCAUGGUUCAAAAGUGAAAGACGGUCUUGCUGUCACUUAUAGAUGGAUCCGCGCUGCAUUAGCUAGUUGGUAAGGUAACGGCUUACCAAGGCAACGAUGCAUAGCCGACCUGAGAGGGUGCUCGGCCACACUGGAACUGAGACACGGUCCAGACUCCUACGGGCGGCAGCAGUAGGGAAUCCUCCGCAAUGGGCGAAAGCCUGACGGAGCAACGCCGCGUGAGUGAUGAAGGUCUUCGGAUCGUAAAACUCUGUUAUUAGGGAAGAACAUAUGUGUAAGUAACUGUGAACAUCUUGACGGUACCUAAUCAGAAAGCCACGGCUAACUACGUG